UACGUAGGGUGCAAGCGUUAAUCGGAAUUACUGGGCGUAAAGGGUGCGCAGGCCGCGCGGGCAGUCAAAUGUGUAAUCCAGGGGCUCAACCCCUGAACUGCGCUUGAUACUUCCGCGCUCGAGCUUUGGAGAGGAGUCUGGAAUUCUCGGUGUAGCAGUGAAAUGCGUGGAUAUCGAGAAGAACACUUAGGGCGUAGGCAAGACUCUGGACAAAUGCUGACGCUCAUGCACGAAGGCUAGGGUAGCGAACGGG
rnacentral:rRNA from 1 species